CAGACUGGUUGUGAACUCACAGAGACCCUCCUGCCUCUGCCUCCUGGGCUCCACCAUCCGGAGAGCUUCCCCAGGAAAGGCUUCGUGCUGCAGUGGUGGGUGGUGGAGAUUGGAGGAGGAGAGCCACCACCAUUUUGUGCAGAGUCUUGACAAGCUGCACGAGAACCGAGUACCUCACCCUGGACAAAGGAUAAUAAUGAUGGGAACCUGAACUUAGUUCCUGGUAUGGAGUUAGGUGCGGAAAGACUAGGAAACAUGGAAAGCACACAUUUGUGAAGAUGAGCCUUGGGAAGGGAAGAUACUUCUAUUUGCCCAUGGAGACCGUUGAUCUCUAAAAUAAACACCGACUACUGUCCAGCUGCAUGCAGGCUUCACUAAUGCUGUGUCUGGUGCCUAUAAAAAUCUACACUCUCCUACUUGGCCUGUCAUUCCAGUGGUGAGCAGGUGCGGCCGCUCAGACUCCGGCCAUCGGGCGAGCAUCCCGGGCCUCCAUCUUCGUACAACCCCAGUGGAUCACUGGGGUCGGCGCUCGCUCCCAGGCCCCCGACGGGAGACGCCGAAGCGCCCAGGCUUCCAAACAGGAACGUUGGUAGCCGGAGUAUCUUCCAAACGCAAGUUUCUCGCCGCCUCCGGGGCAAGUCUUUCCCCCACCCCUUUCCCUGAAGCAGUCGAUUGCAGUUCACGAGAGCUCGCGGUAGCUCAGGAAAGCGACAUCGUCUCUAGCGCCUAAGUCCCUUUCCUGCAGUGCAAAGCCAAAGCGACUCUGGCUCCGGGACUCUCUGUGGGCGGAAUCGGCGCUGAGGAGUUGGUGCAAUUAUUUUGUUGCAAGGUAGAGGCCUGGCACACCCUUCAAGAUCUGUGGAACUGGUGCGUGCAGACAGCUCCUCCCAGUCCGGGAGAGGCAGCCGCCAGGUGGCAGCGCUGAGCCUGCCUGAGCAUGCAGCGACGUGGGAAAACGUGGGGGAAGAUCCAACCGUCCCUUCCUGGUCUCCUGAACCAGUGAACCCCCAACACUUCUCCGGGUUUCAAGGACCGGUGGGUGUGCUGGUGAAUUCUGGGCAUCCCCCCAUUCCCCGUAAGACAA
rnacentral:lncRNA from 1 species